rnacentral:rRNA from 1 species
UACGGAGGGUGCGAGCGUUGUCCGGAAUCACUGGGCGUAAAGGGCGCGUAGGCGGCCUGAUAAGUAGGGGGUGAAAUCCUGCGGCUUAACCGCAGGGCUGCCUUCUAAACUGUCAGGCUAGAGCACAGUAGAGGCAGGUGGAAUUCCCGGUGUAGCGGUGGAAUGCGUAGAGAUCGGGAAGAACAUCAGUGGCGAAGGCGGCCUGCUGGGCUGUUGCUGGACGCUGAGGCGCGACAGCGUGGGGGAGCAAACAGGG